GAUGUUUCUCUUCCCUUCUGCAGAUGAGCUCUUAUUUCACUAGUGGGAAAUCACAUUUAUCUAGAAUUUUUCAGAGAGAGAAAGCUUUCCCUCUCUCCAGUCAGGUCACGGAACUUUGCUAUACUAGGACCACCUCUGUACCUGCUUGUCUCUUGGCAGGUGGGAAGUUCUGAGGCAGCAGGAACCACCCAGAGCCCCCUUCAGAACGAGAAGCCACAUGAAGAAGUCUGUCCCACCAAUCUACAUUUCUGCUGCUCUAUCUCCUCCACCCCAGUGCUGGACAAGAACCCCAUGAAAAGGCCCAAAGUCUGCUGGAAAUACUCCAACUAGCCAAACCAUGGUGGCCCGUGUCUUCCCUCGUCUCCUGUGGCUUAAGCAGCAUGGUGGUCCCAUCGUUCACAGUCUUUGGGUGGGCCUUGCAGACUGGUUUCUGCAAAGAACAUGGCAAGAAAAUAAAGGGACACUGUGCCAUCAACAAAAUGUGCCAGAACAUGCCAUGACCAUUCACAAGUGAACCCAAGGAUCAGGUCUCUGGAAGCAACCCAGGCCCAGAGAGAUUUGCCACAAAGAUGGGAGCUCCACAUGCUGACAGAACAAAGCAUGGCCCAUGCUGUCCCUGUGUGCAUCUCUCCAGGAAACUCACUGAGUCCAGGAGACGCUGAGUACGCUCUACGGGGCACCCACGUCCUUGCAAGCACGUGUAAACAUCCUCGGGAUCAGUGUGGAUGAGACCUAACUGCUGAGUAUCAAAACAACAGCAACAAACAAACACAAAAGAGAAGAAAAGAAACAAUAAAAGCGCCAUGACAGACCAGA